UACGUAGGGGGCGAGCGUUGUCCGGAAUGACUGGGCGUAAAGGGUGCGUAGGUGGUUCGGCAAGUUAGUAGCGUAAUUCCGGGGCUCAACCUCGGAACUACUACUAAAACUGUUGGGCUUGAGUGCAGGAGGGGCAUAUGGAAUUCCUAGUGUAGCGGUGGAAUGCGUAGAUAUUAGGAAGAACACCAGUGGCGAAGGCGAUAUGCUGGACUGUAACUGACACUGAGGCACGAAAGCGUGGGGAGCAA
rnacentral:rRNA from 1 species